rnacentral:rRNA from 1 species
AUUGAACGCUGGCGGCAGGCCUAACACAUGCAAGUCGAGCGGAGCGCCAGACGGGUGAGUAGUGCCUAGGAAUCUGCCACGUCGUGGGGGAUAGCGUCCGCAAACGGGCACUAAUACCGCAUACUAUCACCUGCGCCUAGGUCGGAUUAGCUAGUGGGUGGGGUAAGGGCCUACCAAGGCGACGAUCCGUAACUGGUCUGAGAGGAUGAUCAGUCACACUGGAACUGAGACACGGUCCAGACUCCUACGGGAGGCAGCAGUGGGGAAUAUUGGACAAUGGGCGAAAGCCUGAUCCAGCCAUGCCGCGUGUGUGAAGAAGGUCUUCGGAUUGUAAAGCACUUUAAGUUGGGAGGCGUUACCAACAGAAUAAGCACCGGCUAACUUCGUGCCAGCAGCCGCGGUAAUAC